rnacentral:rRNA from 1 species
UGGUGGAGUGAUUUGUCUGGUUAAUUCCGUUAACGAGCGAGACCGUAGCAUGUUAUAUAGAGGGGUCUAUUCGUGUGUAUGAGUGAAGCGUGCGGGUUUCGGCUUUGCCGCGUGGAUCUUUCGCGAAUAGGGGUGCCUGUAAUAGGGCGCGUUGCUCUCUUCAUAAAUGG